rnacentral:rRNA from 1 species
CUCGUAGGCGGUUCGUCGCGUCCGGUGUGAAAGUCCAUCGCUUAACGGUGGAUCCGCGCCGGGUACGGGCGGGCUGGAGUGCGGUAGGGGAGACUGGAAUUCCCGGUGUAACGGUGGAAUGUGUAGAUAUCGGGAAGAACACCAAUGGCGAAGGCAGGUCUCUGGGCCGUCACUGACGCUGAGGAGCGAAAGCGUGGGGAGCGAACA